rnacentral:rRNA from 1 species
AUGGAGCGCGCACCGGAGCAUCGCCUGCAAAAGCUCUCCGUCGCCGCCGGCGUCGGCGGUGAAGGCGGCGAGGACCGCCUCAGCGCGCUGCCGGACGACGUCCUCAUCCACAUCCUCCUCAAGCUCCGCGACGCCGCCCUCGCCGCUCGGACCAGCGUCCUCGCCCGCCGCUGGCGCCGCGUCUGGGCUCUCCUCCCGGAGCUCCAUUUUCCCGUCGGCACCGACCCCGACCGGACACCGCCCACGAUGCGCCGGCCCUCCGGCACCUCUUCGUCGCCGCCGUUGAGGCCACCCCGGAUUCCGCUGCGGCAUGGCUCCCCAUCGCCGCGCGCCGCCUCUCUGGUGUCCUGCAUUUCAACAACAGUAGGGACAUGA